GUGAAUCAUCAAAUUUUUGAACGCAUAUUGCACUCUCUGGUAUUCCGGAGAGUAUGUCUGGUUGAGGGUAAUUAAAAAGAACCUUUAACCAAUUUUUUUGUGGAAAGGAUAUAAGAUCUCCGCGUUUAUAGCCGUAUCUUGAAAUAAAUGGUCAAGUCUCAUUUUAGUCGAGACGCGUAAUAAUAUUAUUUCUCUAAAUCUUCAUUUUGGGACUAUCAAGUUUUUAUGCAUACAAAUUUGGUUGGUAUGCGGUCAAUACAAAUACUUUGAA
rnacentral:misc_RNA from 1 species